UACGAAGGGGGCUAGCGUUGCUCGGAAUUACUGGGCGUAAAGGGCGCGUAGGCGGACAGUUAAGUCAGAGGUGAAAGCCCAGGGCUCAACCCUGGAAUAGCCUUUGAUACUGGCUGUCUUGAGUGCGGGAGAGGUGUGUGGAACUCCGAGUGUAGAGGUGAAAUUCGUAGAUAUUCGGAAGAACACCAGUGGCGAAGGCGACACACUGGCCCGUAACUGGACGCUGAGGCGCGAAAGCGUGGGGAGCAAACAGG
rnacentral:rRNA from 1 species